CUGCACUCUUUCCACCCACUGAUGUUUCCUGAGCAAUCAUUGGUUGAAUAAUGUCUACUCAAACAAACUCACACUGUGAAACCAGCUCAGCAAGGCCUACCUGGAGCAUGCAAAGACGGAUUGAUGUUGAACUGGAAAGAAGAGGCAAGAGAGAAAUACUGUUUCCUUGAGGAGGCGAUGGGUGGUCCAAAGCUAGAAUUAACACAGGCACUUAGACACCUGGUCCCUUUUCUACCCCACUUCAGCAACCAGACAUGAAGAUCUAAGCUGUAAAGUCCUCCUGUCACGAUGAGAAUCAGCAUGUUUACAAGAAGCUGUCCAGAAGCAAGGCGGCAUCCAUUAGCAGAGUGCCUGACACACUGGACUGAGAGCACCUGUCUCUGCCUCCUGGUUUCUCCCGACUCCCAGGGCAGGGCUCCCUCAUGCUGCCUCUGUCACCAUCACACCCAAAGAAAGGCCAGCCAAGGGCUGGGGGCAAUGUGAUGGCUGUUCCCUUCCUGCCUGGGGCUUUACCCUCAAGUCCUGGGGGACUGACAGGUAUUGUACUAACUGAAAUGAAAAUCAUUUUAUGUGCAGAAGCAAAUUCACCCAGAAUUCUGAAAGUGCAAAAGACUAGAUCCUUAAAGGAACAUUCUGGAUGCUGUGUUUUUCAG